rnacentral:rRNA from 1 species
AGACCGAUAGCGAACAAGUACAGUGAUGGAAAGAUGAAAAGAACUUUGAAAAGAGAGUUAAACAGUACGUGAAAUUGCCAAAAGGGAAGGGUAGGAGGUCAGAGAUGCGUCUUGGAAUUCAGCCUUGCUUCUGCUUGGUGUUUUUUCCAUUUUGCAGGCCAACGUCGGUUUUGGGCACUGGAGAAGGGUGGAAGGAACGUGGCACCUCUCGGGGUGUGUUAUAGCCUUCUACUGGAUACAGCGACCGAGACCGAGGACAGCAGCGUACUCGCAAGAGCGGGCCUUCGGGCACCUUUACGCUUCAGGGCGUUGGCAUAAUGGCCCUCUACCACCCGUCUUGAAACACGGACCAAG